rnacentral:rRNA from 1 species
UACGAGAGGUACAAGCGUUACCCGGAAUCAUUGGGCGUAAAGCGUCCGCAGGUGGUUUGUUAAGUUAAGUAUUAAAUCUUGAAGCCCAACUUCAAGUUGGUACUUAAAACUGGCUCACUUGAACCUUUCAAAAGUACGUGGAAUUCUGUGUGUAGGGGUAAAAUCCGUAGAUAUACAGAAGAACACCAAAAGCGAAGGCAGCGUACUGGGAAAGUGUUGACACUCAUGGACGAAAGCGUGGGGAGCAAACAGG